rnacentral:rRNA from 1 species
AGCGGCGAACGGGUGAGUAACACGUAGGUGAUCUGCCCAUCAGACGGGGACAACGAUUGGAAACGAUCGCUAAUACCGGAUAGGACGAAAGUUUAAAGGUGCUUCUGGCACCGCUGAUGGAUGAGCCUGCGGCGCAUUAGCUAGUUGGUAGGGUAAAGGCCUACCAAGGCGACGAUGCGUAGCCGACCUGAGAGGGUGAACGGCCACACUGGGACUGAGACACGGCCCAGACUCCUACGGGAGGCAGCAGUAGGGAAUCUUCGGCAAUGGGCGAAAGCCUGACCGAGCAACGCCGCGUGAAUGAUGAAGGCCUUCGGGUUGUAAAAUUCUGUUAUAAGGGAAGAACGACUUUAGUAGGAAAUGGCUAGAGUGUGACGGUACCUUAUGAGAAAGCCACGGCUAACUACGUGCCAGCAGCCGCGGUAAUACGUAGGUGGCGAGCGUUAUCCGGAAUUAUUGGGCGUAAAGAGCGCGCAGGUGGUUGAUUAAGUCUGAUGUGAAAGCCCACGGCUUAACCGUGGAGGGUCAUUGGAAACUGGUUGACUUGAGUGCAGAAGAGGGAAGUGGAAUUCCAUGUGUAGCGGUGAAAUGCGUAGAGAUAUGGAGGAACACCAGUGGCGAAGGCGGCUUCCUGGUCUGUAACUGACACUGAGGCGCGAAAGCGUGGGGAGCAAACAGGAUUAGAUACCCUGGUAGUCCACGCCGUAAACGAUGAGUGCUAAGUGU